AACAAAGGAAAGUACAAUGAUUCAUAAUUACAGGCCAAAAAGAAGUGCAUGUGAAAUAUUAACUCAAUGCAUAUAUAGAUACGCGUGAGUUUGUGAUGCACGGGUGAAAGUUCUUUGCCCUUAAAGUUUAAUAUUAGGAGCCCUUAAAAUUUAAUAUUAGGAGCGCUACACCGAAAAUGAAAAAUAAAAUAAAAUCAAUGCAUAGAGAUGCCAAAUUUUUUAAGAAGGUUAGGCAUAUUACUGAGAAUUGCUAAGGUGUUACUCAUGUACUCCUUAGCUUUCUGCACCCGCGCUUUCACUUCUCCAAGCAACGGUGAUCCCAUUUCAUCCAGUCCUUCUAGACACGUGUCUUGAUCAGUCAUCGCAGCACUUAUCCAUGUCUGCAUAUUCUUCACCUUCAUCACCGUCAAUGCACUCUCUCCGGUACCCACAUUCAGCAACUCCGCCGAUUGGUUCAGUUGACUCAGCGCAUCAUCGAAUAAGCUAAUGCAGUCCUUCAACGCCGACACGGUUCCUGGGUGAUUGAUCUUCGAUAGCAGCGUCUUUGGCAACGAAGAGAUGCCUGUUAACUCUUUCACCGUCGCCUGAAGAGAGAGAUUCAGGAAUUGUUCCGGGUCGGGUUUUGUUGAGGUGCUGUUGAGGGAAGAUAUGGAAUCAAAGCAUGACCCGGGAUGCUGAGUCACUGCGCAGACGAUUUUGAGCGAAUCGGCUGAACUGGAUGAAGGAGAUGGUGUGCGGCCGUCGGAAUCAUACGCGUGGAUGAACGCGCCGACGAAUGCGCAGAUGAAUAAAGUUAGGAAGAGGGUGAGAGAGACGGCGAUGGUGAGACGACUCUUGUGGGCGGCUCUGGGAUUGGAGUAAGAAGAUGGAUCUUCAGAAGGGUUGACUUUGCCAUAGCCUUUUACUAAGUUGAUUGAUUCCAUUGAAAUGCAAUUUGGAUUUGAGAGCUUUUCUGCAAAAGCUGUAAGGCGAAGAACGACACGGUUUGAAGAGUUGAUAAGAAUUUGGGUAAUG
rnacentral:misc_RNA from 1 species